rnacentral:rRNA from 1 species
UACGUAGGGGGCAAGCGUUGUCCGGAAUUAUUGGGCGUAAAGAGCGUGUAGGCGGUCCGGUAAGUCCGCUGUGAAAGUCGGGGGCUCAACCCUCGAAAGCCGGUGGAUACUGUCGGGCUCGAGUGCGGAAGAGGCGAGUGGAAUCCUGGUGUAGCGGUGAAAUGCGCAGAUAUCAGGAGGAACACCGAUUGCGAAGGCAGCUCGCUGGGACGUUACUGACGCUGAGGCGCGAAGGCUAGGGGAGCGAACGGG